rnacentral:rRNA from 1 species
GAGUUUGAUCAUGGCUCAGAUUGAACGCUGGCGGCAUGCCUUACACAUGCAAGUCGAACGGCAGCACGGGAGCAAUCCUGGUGGCGAGUGGCGAACGGGUGAGUAAUAUAUCGGAACGUGCCCAGUCGUGGGGGAUAACGUAGCGAAAGCUACGCUAAUACCGCAUACGAUCUACGGAUGAGAGCGGGGGACUCGCAAGAGCCUCGCGCGAUUGGAGCGGCCGAUAUCAGAUUAGGUUGUUGGUGAGGUAAAAGCUCACCAAGCCUGCGAUCUGUAGCUGGUCUGAGAGGACGACCAGCCACACUGGAACUGAGACACGGUCCAGACUCCUACGGGAGGCAGCAGUGGGGAAUUUUGGACAAUGGACGCAAGUCUGAUCCAGCAAUGCCGCGUGCAGGACGAAGGCCUUCGGGUUGUAAACUGCUUUUGUACGGAACGAAACGGUCUUCUUUAAUACAGAGGGCUAAUGACGGUACCGUAAGAAUAAGCACCGGCUAACUACGUGCCAGCAGCCGCGGUAAUACGUAGGGUGCGAGCGUUAAUCGGAAUUACCGGGCGUAAAGCGUGCGCAGGCGGUUAUAUAAGUCAGAUGUGAAAUCCCCGGGCUCAACCUGGGACCUGCAUUUGAGACUGUAUAGCUAGAGUACGGUAGAGGGGGAUGGAAUUCCGCGUGUAGCAGUGAAAUGCGU